AACGAACGCUGGCGGCAUGCCUAACACAUGCAAGUCGAACGAGACCUUCGGGUCUAGUGGCGCACGGGUGCGUAACGCGUGGGAACCUGCCCUUAGGUUCGGAAUAACUCCCCGAAAGGGGUGCUAAUACCGGAUAAUGUCUUCGGACCAAAGAUUUAUCGCCUUUGGAUGGGCCCGCGUUGGAUUAGCUAGUUGGUAGGGUACAAGCCUGCCAAGGCGACGAUCCAUAGCUGGUCUGAGAGGAUGAUCAGCCACACUGGGACUGAGACACGGCCCAGACUCGUACGGGAAGCAGCAGUGGGGAAUAUUGGACAAGGGGCGAAAGCCUGAUCCAGCAAUGCCGCGUGAGUGAUGAAGGCCUUAGGGUUGUAAAGCUCUUUUACCCGGGAUGAUAAUGACAGUACCGGGAGAAUAAGCUCCGGCUAACUCCGUG
rnacentral:rRNA from 1 species